rnacentral:tRNA from 1 species
GCCUCUGUAGCUCAGGUGGUUAGAGCGCUGCACCGGAAUCGCAGGGCCGUAGGUUCAAUUCCUACCAGAGGAC